rnacentral:rRNA from 1 species
GCUGGCAGCUAGCUCACUGCAACUCUUAUAUAAUCGCCCACUGAGCUAAGCAGGGCUGCACCAGGUCAGUACCUGGAUGGGAGAUCACAUGGGAAAGCUAGGUUGCUGCCGGAA